CCUCCCCGGGCGGCCAUUGGUCUCCCAAGGUAGCUCGCGCUACCCUGCCGCGCCGCCAUUGGCCGAUCCGCUCGCCGCUCACGCGCCGGCCACCGGCGAGGAGCCUUCCCUGAUUGGGCACCGCGGCCCUGUUUCGUUAACAACUGGCUGCCCUUCUCGUCAAUCAAGGCGCUGCGCACCGAGCCUGCCUUUCUCCGCUCUUUUUCCCCCGGCCUCGCAGCCUGGGCAGGACUGACGGAAGCGGCUGACAAAAUAAUGCUAGCAUCUGGACAGAAAAAAAAACCACACUCAGAUACAUUCUCACCAUGGUGACCUACAAGAGAACUGUCACAACAGAAGCUGCUGUUGCCACUACAAUUUCCAGAACUCCUGCUGUUUGUGUUGCUGCUGAAGAGAAAAUCCACUGCCCUUUGCUGCACUUAAAGCUCAUGAGGCAAGCCUUUUGGUGGAGGCAGGCAAAAACCCAAAAGAGAAGAACGCUCUGAUGUGCAGCUGCACCAUCUCCUUGGCUCCUUGGAGAAAUCACUGGAAAUCAUAUCCCUGUGUGUGGUCACAGAAGAAAGCUCAGUAAAUUCUGGCUUGGUGGGUGAGUCAGCGUGAGUCAUCAACAGAAAUACCGUCCUACGUUAUACGAAGCUGCAAGGUACAUUUAGAAACAUUCCGCAGUAACAAAAUAAUGCCGUCCUCCUGCUUUUUGUCUAGAUGACACUAAUGACACUCCCAACUUUCCUAAAAUACUGUAAGCAUCCUUACCUCAACAUGUGAGGUUAAAAAAAAAAUCCCUCUUUAUUUUGCUGUUUUCAAUAAGCAAAGCCAACACAAAUAUGAAAAGCCUUUGGGUAAGCCUCAGGUUGCACAUGAAGUCAUUUACAUAGCUGCAUUACACUGACUGACAACUGAGCAACACCUGCUUUUCAGGUGGAUUUCUGAUUACUUGAGUGAGACAUGCUGGGUUUAUUUUUAGCUCUUCCAAUUUUAAUUGUUUCCAUCACUCAAAAUUUCAAGCAGGUAAUAAGAUACUAUGACAAAUGAAGAUAUUUAGCCAACAUCACGAACUGUGUAAUUGUAAGGUUGAAACUAUUCCUGUUUUCUCCUCUUCCACUUUUCUUAAUUUCUGUGGAAAAGGUUUAUUUUUCUACUCCUUAUAUUUCAUUUUCCUCCAAAACAUAUUUUAUUCUGUUCCCGCAUGUCCUUCUGUAUACGAUUUCCGAACAUAUCGUAACUAUACAGCUACAACAGAAACAGGUUUUUUCACUACUUCUCAUAUUAAUUUUGAGAGCUCUAAUAUUUACUCUAGCACUGCUCAAGAUGAAGAAAAUUUCACAUGUAACAUGGCUGUACUCGCAGUCUAGAGUACGGAACAGCAGGGCAUUCACAGAGAGCUAUUUGGCCAGCUGAACACCUUGAACUCCAGUCUGGAAACCAAAUCCACUGCUGCAGUUAGUCAUCCCUCUGGAUCCCGCUUAUCCCAGUGAUGCCACACAGAUGCAGCCAGAUUCACAUCAGCUAAUCUAGUUACAAAACAGAGGCCCUGUUCCUAUCAGAUAUGUUAAAAUCCAUGUAAACAGAAAUGGCUUAACCUCUUAUUUUAAACUGCAGACUCUUUUUUUUCCACUGUUCUUCCAAUAGCUUAGCAAAUGCAUUCUGAAUUUGUCCUCUCAUUAUCUCAAAGGGAGGAUGUUUCCUGGAUUUGCUCCUAACCAUUGUGUUUUGGUUCACUAAUCAAUUCUUUUCCUAGCCAAGUUUUCUAUGUAUCAUCUACUUAGCAUUGCAGACAACUAAUACUGUGAUUCAUUCAGUGUUGCUUUAUGUAGUAGUCUUAGCAAAAACUUAUGGCUUUAUUAUUCUUUAAUUACAUAUUAUGUUAACUCAUACACUAAGUAAAAGAGGGUACAGUUGCUUGUGCUGCUGCCACCGAUUGUUUCGAUUUUUUUAAGGCAUUCAUUGUAUUCGGAACUUGUCUAUUAAAUAAUGGCCUUUGAGAUGCCAGAUGAAGGAAUGCCAGUUUUGUGAAUCCAUUUGAAUUCACGAGUGAAUUAUUGUCAAUGGGAGAAGCAGCCCUAAGCACACCUUGCAAAAUGGCAGAGGCUCUCUGAAGACUUUACAAGAAGCUCUGAGGGCAAAGGAUAUUGUGUCAGAGGCACUUUUGUGUUGGGUUUGGCUUCCUGUCUGAAAGUGCAACCACAAGGACAAAUUCAAAGAUGCAUUUAGCUAAUUAUCUACACUGUAUACUCACUGGGCAGUCAGAGGUAACAAUUUUGCACAUACAGACUAAAUAUUUCAGCAUUCAACCCAAGUCACUGUCAAAUCAAUGUUUUAUUCCAACUGCUCUUGUAGGAUGUUGCUGUGUUUUGGACAUUUGCUGCUGUAAACAGUGGAAACUAGAAAAAGUUUUCCGCAGACAAACUGAUUAUUGUAGAUAUGUAUGUACACAGUACACACUUGCACACACUUAGGUACCUUUUUAGAACAUAUUCUCAGCAGAUAGCCUGUCAACAAAGGGUCAAUAUUCAAUAUACUUUUCAUAUUUAAGUACUUAUUCAAAAAUGUAAAGCAGUGCCUAUUUUUGUAAAAUCAUUUUCAAAUGUUAUUGGAAGCAACUCUCAGUCUUCUGACGCAUUACUCUUUCUUCUGCAUUCCCUACAACUAAACUGGGUCGAUGAGCAAUAAUUUAAGCUAUAAAAGCUGAGGCAAAUUCCCGAUCUCCUUAUGCUUUCUAUCAGCAACUGAAUCUCACAUUUAUGUAAUUUUUGAGGAUUUUAUGUCUAAAUUUGCUAAAAGUAAGGGAAAUUCACUCUUGUAACCAUACAACAGAUACAGAACAGAGGAUUUGACAAAGAUGAUUUAACAUCUGGCUGAAGUAGAUGACAAAAUAAACAACAAUUCUUGAGAUACCUUUGCCGGAGGAUUCCUCUUCCCUCAGAGCCUGAAGGAAGUACAUGGGAUUUCCUUUUGUUUCUUUUCUUUCACCACAAAUUAUCCCAGAAGAAACCUCAAAAUUGAUGUGCACAGACUCACUCCUGAAAACUUCAAGUCAGACCCGUGGAGCUGGAGAGAGUAUGAGUAAUUCAGUGAGUGAGUUCACAAACUGAAAAACCACAGGUGUUUUCCUUCUCUCCCUUAGAUGCUCUCAGGUGCUCUUAAGAGUGAAUUUCUCUGCCACAUGAAAGAGGCACAAUUCCUGCUCUGUAUCUCACCUACUCUGGAAAUGAAAGUUCUAAUCUCCCUGAGUGCUCUGGUAGCGUUGUGAAUGAGAGCUGCAGCCAGCCUCCACUCACUCUCAUUCAGGCCAUCUGAAUGGGUGAGAUGCACUUGUUGCCAGGUCUUUGGUAUCUCUUGAAUUUGCUACUUGAUUGAACUACACAGAUACUGAACGUGUACCCAGAAAAGCAUUUAGGCAUGUCAGUGCAAUGAGAGAAUUCUGGCAUGACUCUGGAUGUGGCAACUCUGGCCUUUGUGACUGGGUGAUGGGAUGAUACUGCAAGAUUUCAGGAAGGCUUAUUCCAAGGACUUAGGGCUUUAAUCUUAAAACUACAUGUAGUCCCUGCACUAUGGCACAUAGCAUUGAUUUUUCUCGUUUAAGUCAUUCCUGAAUUUGCUUAUUCAGAAUGAUUUCUUGUCAUUCUAUCUAAAUACCUGUGGAUGAACUUAGCUUGUAUUUUUGUAUUCUGUGUCACUGUUAGAAAGGGACUAGUAAAGGCUUUUUCUAUUCUAGCACCAGGAGGAUUUCCUAAGAUGAAAAUGCUGAGUAAUCUUGGUCAUUUUCCAGUAUGCUGCUUCAUUUAAUGUAAUUUAGAGCAUCAUUUUCAUGCCUGCAGCAUUUAGGUAAUCACUAGCUAAGAGCUGCUGAUAGCAUCAAACAUUUGGCUCUGCCAUACAGACCUACUGCUGCAUUUUCUAGCUUUGAUAAAUUGUAUGUCAAAAUCAGGUACAAGUGUUUGUUUCUAAUCAAAAAAAGAGAGAGAAUGAAAAGAUGGAAGCAAGCCCCAGAGCAACAGAUCAGACUGAAGUUUUUUGUUAAUUAAUGCUAUGUAAACCAUCUGUUUUAGCACAAAAUGUUAAAUUAUCUUUUAGCAUCCCUUAGCCUUCUUUAUUUAUUUGAUUAAAAAAAAAAAAGUAAUUCUAAAAGCAAAAAUGAACAAUGGUAGAAUCAAAUUAAGCUUGUUCACUGACAGUGACCCUUUACUCUGGCUGGCAAUAUUUAAUAUUACUUUGAGAAUUCUUGCACAAAUACAAUGACUAUACAAAUACAAAUGUAGGGCAGGAGAUCUGACAGUAUUUCACAGGCCGAUGUGUAACUUCUUUGAUUGUAUGCAUAUACAUGUGUAGUUCUGAUUAAAAAAAUAAACAUAGGUUUGACUGAAAAUACCUGAUGCUAUCUGAGUUAGUUCACACGCAUAAUUUCCACCCUUAAGCCUAUGACAUUAACCACGGCUUAGCUCAGGCUGCUGCAGCUACAGGCAGAGAGUGCAGAGGGGCAGGGCGCUGGAGGCUUGGAUGUGAGACUGAAAGCCUAGAGGUGCAUGGGUGAUGGUGAGGUCCAUAGAGUACAUCUGUAUCUGAAAGACAGCUACAUACAUGCCAGAUGCUUUGUUUUCUUUAUGCACAUCAAUAUGUUCACAUAGACUGACUGUGGGCAGUGUUAAUGUCUUGAAAAGAAAAUGGAAGCAGCUGAGUGAGCUUUUACUGGGUGGGAAAAUAGGAGGCAUUGAGGAGGUAGCAGUAGAAACUGCAGAUUAUAUAUGCUGAGGGAAAAAAAUUGCAUCAAACAUGAGCAUGUAAGAGCUGCUGGGUGUCCCAGUGCAUAGUGCUGAGCCAACAUUGUUCUGCUCUCUGAACUGAUUGAUGAGCAGAUUUGACAUUCAGCAGCUCUAGCCGCAACAGGCAAUGACCAAUUUUGGAGGGAAGACAAUACACUGGGGAAGAGGUACUGGGCAUUCAGUAUGGUUGGGGUAAGGCUAGCUCUGGCUCAAAGCCACAUCCCGAGUCUUUUCCCAGCCAGUUUGGCACAGAAUUGCUCUGUGGUAUAAGCACCGUCCUUCACUAGAUGUUACUGAUGGUUCAAACCCAUUAAUGAAAGACUUGUUUGUGCAGCAAUUUUUGUACAGAAAGUGUGAGGGCACUGGAAAAUGGGAUAAGAGGAGGUCUGUGCUGCUUGCAGACUGAGACAAUGAGGUGUGUGGGAUGGUAGAACUGCCUACGAGACUUCCCUGUACAGCACUGUGGGAACUGAGCAACCAGCAGGCUUCCCUGAUGGCGUGCUGAUACCCAUGCUUUCCUGCUGACAGCUGCUUUGCUUCGAGGCCAGGGCAGAGUGGGCAGCCAUUGCAAGGACCUAGGGGCAGGGACACUCAGCCAGAAGACAGUGCAGUGGAAACCGAUGCAUGUAAAAAUGCUUAAUUAUGCAGUGCUUAAUGAUAUACAUUAUAUCUAAAUGUACAGAACAAUGAG